AAGCCGCCGCCGCCACCACCGCCUCACCCAAGCUUUCAUUUGUCAUGCUGGUUGCCCCCGCCUUAUCGUGUAAUGCCAUGUUGCCCCCGCAUCAUCAUCUAAGAUUUCGUUUGUCGUCCGCGCUGCAGUCUGCUUCCCGUUUCACUCUUAUAUUUUUUUGUUGGACGGAGUUGUUUUGCAUCGUUUCGAUCUGUACCGUACUGUUUCCCCUCUUGUUCAUAACGGCGGCGACACAAAUUCUUGCGUGCUGCGCCGCUCACGCAAGGAGGGAUAAAUCGACUCGUCAAGAAAUCGUUUCAGUUGCCAUGACUCCAGUAGGCAAUAUGAUUGUUGCUUGACUACAGUUUUGUCUUCCACUACUUAGCUUAUUUGUUUGUUUUAUUCUUACCUCGCCCGUAUUUUCUUUGUUUUAUUCUUACCUCGCUCCCGAUUUUAAGAUCUAAUUUGGUAUCUGCACGGUGCUUACCCCGGGCUUGUCGGAUGUACUUGAAGAAGGAAGCCCCAAUGUCUGUGCUAGAUCCACUAUGCCAUUCAGUGUUGCAGGCCCUGAUGAAUUUUGUGAUUGGUCUGUGUCAAAGCAAUGGAUACAAAUUUUCGUAAUAGACCAUUUCUUUAUUAUGUUUGGUUUGAUGAUUCGUUUGAUUGAUUGAUGGCAGUGAUUUGACAUUACCCGCGCUUCUGAUCUAACCCGUGAAGCAAAGGGAAAAUUAAUGGUUGAAUUUCUUAAUAUGAGCCAUCUAGUGAUCUUUCAGCUGUCUCCUUUUAUUUUGUGCGUGAGCUCAUUUCAUUCAUGUGGUUGAUUUGGCGGUGAUGAUACAACCAUUCAGCUUACAACGCCAGUUCUGCUUCUGAUAAGUCAUGACAGAUAAAGCUGAUUCAUAUCUGAGCCUUGAUUUGUGUCAUGUUCUGACAAACUCAUAAUUAGGAUCAUGCAUUUUUUCUUGCUCCAAACCUUACAUCCCGUUGGCCACUGAAGUCAACCCAAUGUUUCGAGGCUACAAUCGGCUCCAACUACAUGCUUGUCAGGCGGUAUCAUAAACUGAUUUUUUGUGGUUCAGUUAGACGAGAGCGAUGAAGAGCAACUUUUGUGAACUAGAGUUUCAGAUGCUACCAUGGUGACUUUUUUCUGGGAUGGAGCUCAUAUUUGCAGGUGAUUGAUUCAUCUUGGGGCUGAGAUUGAAAUAGGAUAUGGCACAUAUGAUAAUGAUCAGAGUGGUUUCUGAACAUACGAAGUAGCCGCCCAAGAGCUUUCAACCUGCCAAGUUUCAGAGCUAGUGCUGUUACAUCGUUGGCAAUGCCACAACAUUUUUUCACAUACAUUUAUUUCCCAAUGCGUUGUCCUUAAUGCCAUGUCCUUAUGUAGCAGUUCAUGAACAAGAUUGGAAGGAUAUAAGCACUCAACGACCUUCGUCGAC
rnacentral:lncRNA from 1 species